UACAGAGGGGGCAAGCGUUAUUCGGAAUUAUUGGGCGUAAAGGGCGCGUAGGCGGCUUUGCAAGUGACGGGUGAAAGCCCUCGGCUUAACCGAGGAACUGCCUGUCAGACUGUGAGGCUUGAGACCGGGAGAGGUGAGUGGAAUUCCCAGUGUAGCGGUGAAAUGCGUAGAUAUUGGGAGGAACACCAGUGGCGAAGGCGGCUCACUGGACCGGAACUGACGCUGAGGCGCGAAAGCCAGGGGAGCAAACGGG
rnacentral:rRNA from 1 species